rnacentral:rRNA from 1 species
GCGGCAAGACGGAAAGACCCCGUGAACCUUUACUAUAGCUUGACACUGAACAUUGAGCCUUGAUGUGUAGGAUAGGUGGGAGGCUUUGAAGUGUGGACGCCAGUCUGCAUGGAGCCGACCUUGAAAUACCACCCUUUAAUGUUUGAUGUUCUAACGUGGGCCCCUUACCGGGGUUGCGGACAGUGUCUGGUGGGUAGUUUGACUGGGGCGGUCUCCUCCUAAAGAGUAACGGAGGAGCACGAAGGUUGGCUAAUCCUGGUCGGACAUCAGGAGGUUAGUGCAAUGGCAUAAGCCAGCUUGACUGCGAGCGUGACGGCGCGAGCAGGUGCGAAAGCAGGUCAUAGUGAUCCGGUGGUUCUGAAUGGAAGGGCCAUCGCUCAACGGAUAAAAGGUACUCCGGGGAUAACAGGCUGAUACCGCCCAAGAGUUCAUAUCGACGGCGGUGUUUGGCACCUCGAUGUCGGCUCAUCACAUCCUGGGGCUGAAGUAGGUCCCAAGGGUAUGGCUGUUCGCCAUUUAAAGUGGUACGCGAGCUGGGUUUAGAACGUCGUGAGACAGUUCGGUCCCUAUCUGCCGUGGGCGCUGGAGAACUGAGGGGGGCUGCUCCUAGUACGAGAGGACCGGAGUGGACGCAUCACUGGUGUUCGGGUUGUCAUGCCAAUGGCACUGCCCGGUAGCUAAAUGCGGAAGAGAUAAGUGCUGAAAGCAUCUAAGCACGAAACUUGCCCCGAGAUGAGUUCUCCCUGACUCCUUGAGAGUCCUGAAGGAACGUUGAAGACGACGACGUUGAUAGGCCGGGUGUGUAAGCGCAGCGAUGCGUUGAGCUAACCGGUACUAAUGAACCGUGAGGCUUAACCUU